rnacentral:rRNA from 1 species
GUCUAUGGGCCAUACCACCCUGAAUAUGCCUGAUCUCAUCUGAUCUUGGAAAGUAGCAGGUCGGCCUGAUUAGUACUUGAAUGGAGACUGCCUGGGAACUACCCUGGGCUGUAGCUU